GCAAAAGCUGUGAACAGGAAGAGUAUUCCGGGAUAAACCCGUACAGAGAGCAGGAAAAUGCUGAGAACCUGCAGGACAUUGCCGGAAGAAAAUCACCUGAGAGCUGAUGGCUGAAUUACUAGUAGGUCAAUUCGUAUUCCUGCGUUAAAGGAUAAGGUAUGCAGUACCUGAAAGUGUAAAGGUGGUAUAGCGAAGCAAACGCUUCGUCCUGACU
rnacentral:ncRNA from 1 species